GAGUUUGAUCGUGGCUCAGGGUGGUAGGAACAUUGAGGCUGGGGCCGCCUGAGGCUUUGGCAUGAGGCUGGGGGGCUGAGGAGAGAUGUGAAACAGUUACACCGGGGGUGAAGGUGUCAGAGAGGCCUCUCAGUUUCAGCUUGAGUCGGCAGGCAGGCCAUGGUGGUGGCUGGUGGGGAAGUCACCACUGCCCCAGGCCAGAGAGGAUUGCCUCUGAGCCAGGGAUGUCCAGGGCUGCCUCUGAGAGAGGUACGGGUGGGAGUGGACACGGGCAGGUCAACCACUGUCCCUGCCCCAUGACCCCGACACAGGUCAGAUGACCCAGAUGUGGGGGGCCAGGGCAGGAGCAGUUGAGGGGCCAGGCUAUCAGCUGAGUCGGAAGUU
rnacentral:rRNA from 1 species